rnacentral:lncRNA from 1 species
AGGGAGGAAUUAGGGCACCAAUAUAGAUGAAUGGAGAUGAAAAAUAAAAAUCUCCAUUCCUAUUGGUCAAAAAUCAUGACCAAUGGGCUUUGAAGAGGCUGCCCGAGGCCAUAUUAGGGAUUAGGGUUAAUUUUUCGAGCCCAUUCGAAUAUUGAAGGCUAGGAUCAGAAGGUUUAGGUUUUUGGUUAAGAUUUUGGUGUAAUUUUUGUGUCAUUUGGGGCUUUUAUGAAGAAGUUAUAGGCACUCAAAGUUAAGAUGUUAGUUUUGGACCUACUGUCACUCUUUU